GAUGAACGCUGGCGGCGUGCCUAAUACAUGCAAGUCGAGCGGACGGACGCUACGCUUGCUUCUCUGUCGUUUGCGGCGGACGGGUGAGUCACACGUGGAUCCCCUACCUAUAAGACUGGGAUCACUUCGGGACACCGGCGCUAAUCCCGUAUAAUAUUUUGAUCCGCAUUGUUCAAUAGUGAAAUACGGUCUUUCUGUCUCUUCUAGCUGGAUCCGCGCUGCAUUAGCUAGUUGUUAAGGUAACGGCUUACCAAGGCAACCAUGCGUAGACGAACUGAGAGAGUGAUCGGCCACACUGGAACUGAGACACGGUCCAGAGUCCUAAGGGAGGCAGCAGUAGGGAAUGGUACGCAAUGGGCGAAAGCAUGACGGAACAACGCCGAGUGAGAGAUGAAGGUCUUCGGAGCGUGAAACUCGGUUAUGAGGGAAGAACAGAUGUGGAAGGAAAUGUGCACUUAGUGACGGUACCGAGUCAGAAAGCCACGGCUAACUACGUG
rnacentral:rRNA from 1 species